rfam:Vibrio tubiashii ATCC 19109 chromosome 1, complete sequence.
GAUAUCACUUAACGUAUCAGGGUCCAGCAACAAAAAACCCCGACUUUUCGGGGUUUUUUGUUAUCUAAAUUUUCUCAUUGAGAAUUUAGAGCUUUGCUUGGAAUUUAAAUUGGGCUCUGAGCCCUUUUUUU